UAUCAAAAACAUCACCUCCAGCAUUCCCAGUAUUGGAGGCAUUGCCUGCCCAGUGACAACUGUUUAACGGCCGCGGUAUCCUGACCGUGCAAAGGUAGCAUAAUCAUUUGUUCUCUAAAUAAGGACUUGUAUGAAUGGCCGCACGAGGGUUUUACUGUCUCUUACUUCCAAUCAGUGAAAUUGACCUUCCCGUGAAGAGGCGGGAAUGCACAAAUAAGACGAGAAGACCCUAUGGAGCUUUAACUAACCAACCCAAAGAGAAUAAAUUUAACCAUUAAGGAGUAACAACAAUCUCCAUGAGUUGGUAGUUUCGGUUGGGGUGACCUCGGAGAAUAAAAAACCCUCCGAGCGAUUUUAAAGACUAGACCCACAAGUCAAAUCACUCUAUCGCUCAUUGAUCCAAAAACUUGAUCAACGGAACAAGUUACCCUAGGGAUAACAGCGCAAUCCUAUUCAAGAGUCCAUAUCGACAAUAGGGUUUACGACCUCGAUGUUGGAUCAGGACAUCCUGAUGGUGCAACCGCUAUCAAAGGUUCGUUUGUUCAACGAUUAAAGUCCUACGUGAUCUGA
rnacentral:rRNA from 1 species